rnacentral:rRNA from 1 species
UACGAAGGGGGCUAGCGUUGCUCGGAAUCACUGGGCGUAAAGCGCACGUAGGCGGAUUCUUAAGUCAGGGGUGAAAUCCUGGAGCUCAACUCCAGAACUGCCUUUGAUACUGGGAGUCUCGAGUCCGGGAGAGGUGAGUGGAACUGCGAGUGUAGAGGUGAAAUUCGUAGAUAUUCGCAAGAACACCAGUGGCGAAGGCGGCUCACUGGCUCGGUACUGACGCUGAGGUGCGAAAGCGUGGGGAGCAAACAGG